rnacentral:tRNA from 1 species
GCAUCUGUAGUUCAGUGGCAGAACGUCAGCUUCCCAAGCUGAAUAUGCGAGUUCGAUUCUCGUCAGGUGCUCCA